GGGUUGUGAGGUUAAGCGACUAAGCGUACACGGUGGAUGCCCUGGCAGUCAGAGGCGAUGAAGGACGUGCUAAUCUGCGAUAAGCGUCGGUAAGGUGAUAUGAACCGUUAUAACCGGCGAUUUCCGAAUGGGGAAACCCAGUGUGAUUCGUCACACUAUCAUUAACUGAAUCCAUAGGUUAAUGAGGCGAACCGGGGGAACUGAAACAUCUAAGUACCCCGAGGAAAAGAAAUCAACCGAGAUUCCCCCAGUAGCGGCGAGCGAACGGGGAGCAGCCCAGAGCCUGAAUCAGUGUGUGUGUUAGUGGAAGCGUCUGGAAAGGCGCGCGAUACAGGGUGACAGCCCCGUACACAAAAAUGCACAUACUGUGAGCUCGAUGAGUAGGGCGGGACACGUGGUAUCCUGUCUGAAUAUGGGGGACCAUCCUCCAAGGCUAAAUACUCCUGACUGACCGAUAGUGAACCAGUACCGUGAGGGAAAGGCGAAAAGAACCCCGGCGAGGGGAGUGAAAAAGAACCUGAAACCGUGUACGUACAAGCAGUGGGAGCCUCUUUUAUGGGGUGACUGCGUACCUUUUGUAUAAUGGGUCAGCGACUUAUAUUCUGUAGCAAGGUUAACCGAAUAGGGGAGCCGAAGGGAAACCGAGUCUUAACCGGGCGUUAAGUUGCAGGGUAUAGACCCGAAACCCGGUGAUCUAGCCAUGGGCAGGUUGAAGGUUGGGUAACACUAACUGGAGGACCGAACCGACUAAUGUUGAAAAAUUAGCGGAUGACUUGUGGCUGGGGGUGAAAGGCCAAUCAAACCGGGAGAUAGCUGGUUCUCCCCGAAAGCUAUUUAGGUAGCGCCUCGUGAAUUCAUCUCCGGGGGUAGAGCACUGUUUCGGCAAGGGGGUCAUCCCGACUUACCAACCCGAUGCAAACUGCGAAUACCGGAGAAUGUUAUCACGGGAGACACACGGCGGGUGCUAACGUCCGUCGUGAAGAGGGAAACAACCCAGACCGCCAGCUAAGGUCCCAAAGUCAUGGUUAAGUGGGAAACGAUGUGGGAAGGCCCAGACAGCCAGGAUGUUGGCUUAGAAGCAGCCAUCAUUUAAAGAAAGCGUAAUAGCUCACUGGUCGAGUCGGCCUGCGCGGAAGAUGUAACGGGGCUAAACCAUGCACCGAAGCUGCGGCAGCGACACUGUGUGUUGUUGGGUAGGGGAGCGUUCUGUAAGCCUGUGAAGGUGUACUGUGAGGUAUGCUGGAGGUAUCAGAAGUGCGAAUGCUGACAUAAGUAACGAUAAAGCGGGUGAAAAGCCCGCUCGCCGGAAGACCAAGGGUUCCUGUCCAACGUUAAUCGGGGCAGGGUGAGUCGACCCCUAAGGCGAGGCCGAAAGGCGUAGUCGAUGGGAAACAGGUUAAUAUUCCUGUACUUGGUGUUACUGCGAAGGGGGGACGGAGAAGGCUAUGUUGGCCGGGCGACGGUUGUCCCGGUUUAAGCGUGUAGGCUGGUUUUCCAGGCAAAUCCGGAAAAUCAAGGCUGAGGCGUGAUGACGAGGCACUACGGUGCUGAAGCAACAAAUGCCCUGCUUCCAGGAAAAGCCUCUAAGCAUCAGGUAACAUCAAAUCGUACCCCAAACCGACACAGGUGGUCAGGUAGAGAAUACCAAGGCGCUUGAGAGAACUCGGGUGAAGGAACUAGGCAAAAUGGUGCCGUAACUUCGGGAGAAGGCACGCUGAUAUGUAGGUGAAGUCCCUCGCGGAUGGAGCUGAAAUCAGUCGAAGAUACCAGCUGGCUGCAACUGUUUAUUAAAAACACAGCACUGUGCAAACACGAAAGUGGACGUAUACGGUGUGACGCCUGCCCGGUGCCGGAAGGUUAAUUGAUGGGGUCAGCGCAAGCGAAGCUCUUGAUCGAAGCCCCGGUAAACGGCGGCCGUAACUAUAACGGUCCUAAGGUAGCGAAAUUCCUUGUCGGGUAAGUUCCGACCUGCACGAAUGGCGUAAUGAUGGCCAGGCUGUCUCCACCCGAGACUCAGUGAAAUUGAACUCGCUGUGAAGAUGCAGUGUACCCGCGGCAAGACGGAAAGACCCCGUGAACCUUUACUAUAGCUUGACACUGAACAUUGAGCCUUGAUGUGUAGGAUAGGUGGGAGGCUUUGAAGUGUGGACGCCAGUCUGCAUGGAGCCGACCUUGAAAUACCACCCUUUAAUGUUUGAUGUUCUAACGUGGACCCGUGAUCCGGGUUGCGGACAGUGUCUGGUGGGUAGUUUGACUGGGGCGGUCUCCUCCUAAAGAGUAACGGAGGAGCACGAAGGUUGGCUAAUCCUGGUCGGACAUCAGGAGGUUAGUGCAAUGGCAUAAGCCAGCUUGACUGCGAGCGUGACGGCGCGAGCAGGUGCGAAAGCAGGUCAUAGUGAUCCGGUGGUUCUGAAUGGAAGGGCCAUCGCUCAACGGAUAAAAGGUACUCCGGGGAUAACAGGCUGAUACCGCCCAAGAGUUCAUAUCGACGGCGGUGUUUGGCACCUCGAUGUCGGCUCAUCACAUCCUGGGGCUGAAGUAGGUCCCAAGGGUAUGGCUGUUCGCCAUUUAAAGUGGUACGCGAGCUGGGUUUAGAACGUCGUGAGACAGUUCGGUCCCUAUCUGCCGUGGGCGCUGGAGAACUGAGGGGGGCUGCUCCUAGUACGAGAGGACCGGAGUGGACGCAUCACUGGUGUUCGGGUUGUCAUGCCAAUGGCACUGCCCGGUAGCUAAAUGCGGAAGAGAUAAGUGCUGAAAGCAUCUAAGCACGAAACUUGCCCCGAGAUGAGUUCUCCCUGACCCUUUAAGGGUCCUGAAGGAACGUUGAAGACGACGACGUUGAUAGGCCGGGUGUGUAAGCGCAGCGAUGCGUUGAGCUAACCGGUACUAAUGAACCGUGAGGCUUAACCUUACAACGCCGAAGGUGUUU
rnacentral:rRNA from 2 species